GGCCUGGUAGCUCAGUUGGUAGAGCAGCGGACUGAAAAUCCGCGUGUCGGCGGUUCGAUUCCGUCCCAGGCCACCA
rnacentral:tRNA from 1 species